CCUACGGGUUGCACCAGUGGGGAAUAUUGCGCAAUGGGCGGAAGCCUGACGCAGCGACGCCGCGUGGGGGAUGACGGCCUUCGGGUUGUAAACCUCUUUCAGCAGGGACGAAGCGCAAGUGACGGUACCUGCAGAAGAAGCACCGGCCAACUACGUGCCAGCAGCCGCGGUAAUACGUAGGGUGCAAGCGUUGUCCGGAAUUAUUGGGCGUAAAGAGCUCGUAGGCGGUUCGUCGCGUCGGCUGUGAAAACCCGGAGCUCAACUCCGGGCCUGCAGUCGAUACGGGCGGACUUGAGUGUUGCAGGGGAGACUGGAAUUCCUGGUGUAGCGGUGAGAUGCGCAGAUAUCAGGAGGAACACCGGUGGCGAAGGCGGGUCUCUGGGCAACUACUGACGCUGAGGAGCGAAAGCGUGGGGAGCGAACAGGAUUAGAUACCCUCGUAGUC
rnacentral:rRNA from 1 species